AUUGCACUUGAACUAAUAAAACCGCCUGCUACUUGAUUCGGGCACACAGCCUUUACAACAGGAACAUUAUUAAUAACCUUAACCCUACUAUAGCUACCCACCGUAUGGCAAUUCCACCUGCUUUCUAACCACCUUUAUACCGCCUACCUAUCUCAGGUACACCAGAUCUUCACCAAUACCUCCAUUAUCCUGUCCUAUUACAUACAAUGACCAGCUUGCUUGCUUCCUCAGUUGGCUAUACGCCUUCUUGAAAGCAGUGCACAUUUGGAUGGAGUAAUCGAGAUUGCCAUGCGUUUCAUUUACAAACAGGAAACUCACUGUUUGGCAACUGCGUGCAACACAGCAACGUUUCUGUAUUCCACACCCUCGUCGAAUGAUGCACAAAAGCAUGCCAUGCGCACGGUUGAGAGGAAGGGACCCUAGGACAAAUUUUUGCCAUCAUCAGAGUAAUAGAAAAGCGGGCUCUUCUGUGACCUAAUAAUAAGGGACAUUGCACCCCCC
rnacentral:sRNA from 1 species